rnacentral:lncRNA from 1 species
UGCCGUUUCAAGUUUUCAGAAUUUAAUCUUUUAAUUAGCGUGUCAACGUUACAUUAAAACCUAAAGCUUGCUCUUUGCAGAGGACUGCUUUUAACAUUUUUUGAUUUGAGCGUCACUGAUGAGUCUUUUGUAGACUAAAGGCGCGUCUGGCAUAAAUAUGAAACUUUAAUCCAGGUAUCUAUGAUGAGUUUAUUUACAAGUCCCAUUUUAACAUGAAGCAUCUUUUUGUCAAAUUGUUCAGGAAAAAAACUAAUUCCAUUGCCUAUCAAAUAUAAACAUAAACUUAAGCAAAC